GUUUCCCCAGCCACUCUGGGCAGCUCCCAACAGAAUUAAAAGCACAAUAAAACAUCAAACAUUAAAAACUUGCCUAAACAGGGCUGCCGGCAGAUUUCUUCUAAAAGUCAGAUAGUUGUUUAUUUCCUUGAGAUCUGACAGGAGGGAGUUCCACAGGGAGGGCACCACUACCAAGAAGGCCCUCUGCCUGGUUCCCUGUAACCUCGCUUCUUGCAGGGAGGGAACCGCCAGAAGGCCCUUGGAGCUGGACCUCAGUGUCCGGGCUGAACGAUGGGGGUGGAGACACUCCUUCAGGUAUACUGGGUUGAGGCUGUUUACGGCUUUAAAGGUCAGCACCAACACUUUGAACUGUGCUCGGAAACGUACUGGGAGACAAUGUAGGUCUUUCAGGACCGGUGUUAUAUGGUCUCCAUUUGCCUCAGGUACCAAAAUAUAUCUGGUAGCUAUCACUAUUUCUAUUGAGAGCAGAUUCCAUUGUUUAUCUGUGUGCUGCUUGAAGAAGUCCUUACUUUUGUCCAUCAUGAAUUUUCCAUUGUUCAGCUGUUUGGUGUUUCCUAGCAGAACCCACCUGCUUGAACGGGAUGGUGGAAAGGGCACAGCCUGGGACAGUUUCAAACCUACCUGAAAAAGCAAAGGGUCUAUUCUAAUUGUAAUUUUUGCAUUUGGGAGUGGGAGAGACUUCUGGGGAACUGAUGCUACCUUGAAGACAGUAGGGGUAUUUGCUGGUUCUCCCAUGGUCAAAGGGGUCAACUGAGAGACAUCACAGAACGUUCAGAAGCUUCCAGUAUCUCUCUUCACAAUAGAAGAGAACCUUUAACAGAAGGCAGUACUGCUUCUGAGCAAUUUAAAAGGUGGUCAUGGAAAAGUCAAGUAGGAUUUGCAUUCCACUGCCCACCAAGCAGUUCUCCUGCUUUGCAAAAUGAAUGUGGGUGUGAGCAUGCAAACACAAACACCCACACAUCCGAAUGCAGGAGUCAGACCAACCUAAGGGAAUCUCAAGAAUGAGCUGGAGAAGGCUGUGCUCUGGACUCCAGGAGGGGUGAUUUCAGCAUCCACCUGGAUUCCCUUUGCAGUGUAAGCCUGGUCCAAGCAACCGAAGAUGCACAGGGACCAGGUUAUCAGCAAAGCUGGUAAAUGGACCAAUGUUACUAGUUUAAUAAAUAUAAAGGUGUUGCCUUGGGGGGCACAGCUUCCCCCUCUGGAAACUUUUAGUUAUUCCCAUUGUACAGACAGGAAAACCAAGGCUGGAGGAAUAGAUGGGCCGCCAGUAUUCAGCGCUGUAGGACAGUUGCCCAGGGCUGUAAGGUAUUCAGCAGGCCCAGAAACCCGAGCCAUGGAGCUGUCAUGAUCCCUAAAAUUCCACCGUACCAAACCAGAAGAGAGGGCAGAGGAAGAGUCGUGGAAGUGAGAGUGGCAUCGUCUCACUGUGGGACAGGCAAGAUCCUUUGCUAUGAGGGGGGCAGCUUGGAUCAAGAGCCAGCCUUGCUUCUCUGUAUGUCUUGAGCACAGAAGGUUUCAUAACUGCUUCUUAAGUACCGUAGUUAGAAAAAAAUGAGUGGAAUUCAGAUCUACAGUCCAUAUUUGUACAAAUGUACAAACUGGUACAUUUUCCUGCGGUGGGGAUAUUACAGGGAAAGUGAAAACAUCAGUAAAAUUUCCAUAUACAACCAACCUUCUGAUUUAUGCAUGUUCAAUACAUGCAUGACUGCGCCAAACCUGGAAGUGACCCAGAAAUGUCACAAAAAACAUCACAAAAAUGGGUGGAAUGGGGUGUUUGCAGGCUUUAUCAACAGUGUUUCACAUAUAUACAAUUCCACUUAAAUGUUCGUACUUUGGAACACAACGCCCACGUAAAUGGGGGGUUGCCUGUAUUUAGUUCCAUAUAUAUGUUAUUUUACAAAUAUGUAAUGAAAUACGUGUGUGUGUGUGUGUGUGUGUGUGUGUAUCUUAAUGGUAUCAAAGGUGUUUACAGCGAUUCUACCAAGAAGGAAUAAGACAUAUCCUGUAUGUCACAGUUCAGGGGCAGAACUUCAGGCAAAAUAUGGCCCUUGAAUCUUUUCUCUCUGGCCCUCAGAACUUUGCCGAGGCCAUGUCCCUCACUGGUCCUGCUGUGCCUCCCAAGUUUUUUGCUUGCUGGGGAAAGUCUUUGAACUCUGAUCAUGAUUCCUGCUUGUCUGGAUGGAGGCUGAAGAUUGGUGUGGGUGACAUUGUGUAGAGGUAAAGGUAAAAAGGUAAAGGAGCCCUGGAUGGCUAAGUCCUGUCAAAGGCGACUAUGGGGUUGCGGCGCUCAUCUCACUUUCAGGCCAAGGGAGCCGGUGUUUGUCCACAGACAGCUUUCUGGGUCAUGUGGGCAGCAUGACUAAACUGCUUCUGACACAACAGAACACCAUGACUGAAAUAUACUCAGAGUCGAGAGUGGAUUCCAUGCUCUUUAUUCAGCUCAUAGUGGUGAGGAGGAACAGAAGUUCCCCCAGAAUGUCUGCUUUAUAUACAUUAUUUACCAUGUGAUUGGCUAAUUCCGGGAUUCUCCUGUAGGCCAAUCAGGUUGCGGAUUCAGUUCUACCUGGAGCUGGAUUGGGUGGCUCCUGUAGACCAAUCAGACUGCUGCAUUCUGGAUCCUAUUGUUCUAGGACCAAUCAGACUGCUGCAUCCUGAAUCCUAUUGUUCUAGGGCCAAUCAGACUGCUGCAUUCUGAAUCCUAUUGUUCUAGGACCAAUCAGACUGCUGCAUUUUGGAUCCUCUUCAACUCAGUACAUAACAGUGAUGGAAACCAGAGCGCACGGAAAUGCCAUUUACCUUCCCGCAGCAACGGUACCUAUUUAUCUACUUGCACUGGCAUGCUUUCGAACUGCUAGGUUGACAGGAGCUGGGACAGAGCAACAUGAGCUCAUUUCAUCAUCGCAGGGAUUCAAACCGCCAACCUUCCACUUGGCGAGCCCAAGAGGCUCAGUGGUUUAUACCACAGCGCUACCCGCACCCCCUACAUUGUGUAGAAACCAGCCUGCCACACACAGGUGAAAUUUACACUCGCUGCUCUGCCCCCUUUGGUCUCAACCCUGCCCACCACUGGAAGGUUGCUCAAAAAAUAUUCCUCAUUCCUGGCUCAGCUCCAAAGGAAGGAUUUUGGAUGAGAAGCAGGAUGAACCCCCUGGGGUUCUUGUUUUGCUUGAACUCUCAGAUGGUAUGAGGCCAGUCCUGGGCAGUGAAAGCAGCAUCUUUCCUUGUCUCUAAUGGCUCUCCCCAACAUCCGAGGAACUCACGACCUCAGUGGGAUGGCCUCAGUGGCAGAAAGCCCGUCUGUUUAUCUUCUUUAAACAAACCAGCCCUUCCAGGAAUUGUCUCGGAGGAGACCCCGGGGCUGCCCACCUUCCCUGGCCUCAGAUCCAACGGGCGACCCACUGUUUAUCAACAAGAAUACAGCCUCCUCUGUUUUGUGCCAGGUUACGCUGCCCCGGUCAAAUGCAAGGCUGAAGCGUCUCUGGCCUGCCAAGAGUGCGUGUUUGCAUUUUCUUGGGACAUGGAUUGCAGCUUGAUCUGCAGAAGGGAGAAAACCUAAGCCUUUUUUCCUCUCUGGAGAGAAGGUGGAUCAUGUGCAAGUUCGUCUGCUGUGAAAAGAGCAGGAAUAAAUGGGACGAUUACAAAGCUAGCUGUGAAAAGUCCCCAGAGUUUGGGAAGGGCAGUAGCUCAUUGGCAGAACAUCUGCUCUGCAUGCAGGAGGCCCCGGGUUCGAGCCCCAGCAGCAUCUCCAGCUAGAGACAGAAAAGGUACAGCCACACUGGAGAGACCUGUCAGGAGUAAGCAUGGACCAAUGGUACCUUGCCAACAAAGGUCCGUAUAGUUAAAGCUAUGGUUUUCCCAGUAGUGGUGUAUGGAAGUGAGAGCUGGACCAUAAAGAAGGCUGAUCGCCGAAGAAUUGAUGCUUUUGAAUUAUGGUGCUGGAGGAGACCCAUGGACUGCAAGAAGAUCAAACCUAUCCAUCCUUAAGGAAAUCAGCCCUGAGUGCUCACUGGAAGGACAGAUCCUGAAACUGAGACUCCAAUACUUUGGCCACCUCAUGAGAAGAGAAGACUCCCUGGAAAAGACCCUGAUGUAAGGGAAAGAUGGAGGGCACAAGGAGAAGGGGACGACAGAGGACGAGAUGGUUGGAUAGUGUUCUCGAAGCUACCAGCAUGAGUUUGACCAAACUGCGGGAGGCAGUGGAAGACAGGAGUGCCUGGUGUGCUCUGGUCCAUGGGGUCACAAAGAGUCGGACACGACUAAACGACUAAACAGCAACAAUGGUACCAAAGAGUAUGGGAAACAGCCCUACUAGAAAAAUUAACCAAUAAACUGAAACUGACAUGGGGACAAAUAGAAGAAGACACCUUCACCCCAGUAUAGCUCCCCUUUAUCAUAUACAUAGCCCAACAAGACAAUGACAAUAAUCCACCAACAGCAUACAAAUCAAUAUAGCUAACCUGAUCCAAAACACCCACCCACCCCACUCACACACAAAAACAAAGACCACCACAGCCAAUCACAAAUGAACAACCACGCCCUAGGCCAUCCCCAACCUCUCUCACCACCAAAGGAACACAAACGAACAACAAAGAACCUUGACAAGCAACGCUGACACCAAACCCUACAUAUAGUAAGUAAAAUAGAAACAUCGCCACCCGACCCCCACCCCACCCAUCUCCCCCCCUCCACCUCUUUCCCCUUUUCUUCUUAAUGUCUCAACAAAUGAAACUGAUUUGUAAAAAUGUUACAUGGGAAAAAAAAUACGAGAGAGAGACAUUGCAAACGCUUUUGUAAAUCAAGAAAAUCUUUAAUAAAAAUAAACAGCACAAAAAAAGAAGAAAAGAUAAGAAAAGGUAUAGCCAGU